CACGUAGGGGGCAAGCGUUGUCCGGAUUCAUUGGGCGUAAAGAGCUCGUAGGCGGUUCGAUAAGUCGGGUGUGAAACCUCCAGGCUCAACCUGGAGACGCCACCCGAUACUGUCGUGACUAGAGUCCAGUAGGGGAGCGUGGAAUUCCUGGUGUAGCGGUGAAAUGCGCAGAUAUCAGGAGGAACACCAGCGGCGAAGGCGGCGCUCUGGGCUGGAACUGACGCUGAGGGGCGAAAGCGUGGGGAGCGAACAGG
rnacentral:rRNA from 1 species